ACAAAACAAUAUUUAAGUGUUUAAAACGGUUCAAUUUACAUUUUGGGACUCUGUACCUUCUGCCGGAAGGCAAGAGCUCAUAUUCUGCGUGAAGGAUGUGUGACGGGUCCAACAAUACCCUCCG